AUGCCAAGAAUGUCGCAACGUACCUGUGGAAUAACUUCUUGGGAGUUCGAUAUUGAGGGCGGCACACCCCUGCACUGGGACGAUCUUGCAAGAUUCCUGAAGGGGUACAACAACUCCGGGAGGAGGGUGUACCUGACUGCCGCGCCGCAGUGCCCUUUCCCGGAUGCUUGGGUGGGUGGCGCCCUAAACACUGGUCUCUUUGACUAUGUGUGGGUGCAGUUCUACAACAACGCUCCUUGCCAGUACACUUCAGGCAGCACUUCCAAUCUAGCUGACGCAUGGAAGAAAUGGUUGACGGUUCCUGCAAAGCAGAUCUUCCUUGGCCUCCCGGCAUCACCUCAGGCUGCGGGGAGCGGGUUCAUCCCAGCUGAUGAUCUAAAAUCAGAUGUUCUCCCAUUGAUCAAGAGCACGGGAAAAUAUGGAGGGAUCAUGCUAUGGUCCAAAUACUAUGAUGACCAGGAUGGCUACAGCUCUUCGGUGAAGAGUUAUGUUUGA
rnacentral:rRNA from 1 species